AAAUUGAAGAGUUUGAUCAUGGCUCAGAUUGAACGCUGGCGGCAGGCCUAACACAUGCAAGUCGAACGGUAACAGGAAGAAGCUUGCUUCUUUGCUGACGAGUGGCGGACGGGUGAGUAAUGUCUGGGAAACUGCCUGAUGGAGGGGGAUAACUACUGGAAACGGUAGCUAAUACCGCAUAACGUCGCAAGACCAAAGAGGGGGACCUUCGGGCCUCUUGCCAUCGGAUGUGCCCAGAUGGGAUUAGCUAGUAGGUGGGGUAACGGCUCACCUAGGCGACGAUCCCUAGCUGGUCUGAGAGGAUGAC
rnacentral:rRNA from 1 species